UACGGAGGGGGCUAGCGUUGUUCGGAAUUACUGGGCGUAAAGCGCGCGUAGGCGGAUCUGCAAGUCGGGGGUGAAAUCCCGAGGCUCAACCUCGGAACUGCCUUCGAUACUGCGGGUCUCGAGUCCGGAGAGGUGAGUGGAAUUCCUAGUGUAGAGGUGAAAUUCGUAGAUAUUAGGAAGAACACCAGUGGCGAAGGCGGACUCACUGGCCCGGUACUGACGCUGAGGC
rnacentral:rRNA from 1 species